GUCAUCAGUCUGACAAUAGUGACAGAAACGCACGAAUAAACGCGAACGCUAGUGGCCAAGAAGGACAUAUGUACGCGGGAUUACAUGCAAACAGAAACUAUGAAUACGAUGUUGUUGAACCAGGACAUUUAGAAACCAACAUGACUCAGCUACACCAAGGAGCGUAUGUACCAUUAG